CUUUGGAAGAACCUUCCUCUGAAGCUGGCUCUGUACAUUUAAAUAAGAAUACUGCAAAUCAUCAAAGCCUUUAGCAAGUCUGACUCUUGGAGUGAGCCUUUGUUUUUCUUCAUUUAUAAAAGGAAAAGGGGACUGUACUGUUCACAUUUAUUUAUUUUUUUAUUUUUUUAAUUGAUCAUUCUUGGGUGUUUCUCCCAGAGGGGGAUUUGGCAGGGUCAUAGGACAAUAGUGGAGGGAAGGUCAGCAGAUAAACAAGUGAACAAAGGUCUCUGGUUUUCCUAGGCAGAGGACCCUGCGGCCUUCCGCAGUGUUUGUGUCCCUGGGUACUUGAGAUUAGGGAGUGGUGAUGACUCUUAACGAGCAUGCUGCCUUCAAGUAUCUGUGAUGUGAGGAGCGCCUCUGCCCGGCCGCGACCCCGUCUGGGAGGUGAGGAGCAUCUCUGCCCGGCCGCCCCGUCUGAGAAGUGAGGAGACCCUCUACCUGGCAACCGCCCCGUCUGAGAAGUGAGGAGCCCCUCCGCCUGGCAGCCACCCCGUCUGGGAAAGUCAUUCUUAUAGAAGAGCAUCAGAGGAAGAUAAAAAAGAAUCCUCAAUGUCAGGCCCCUGAGCCCAAGCUAAGCCAU
ensembl:lncRNA novel transcript